CCAAUAGCGUAUAUUAAAGUUGUUGCAGUUAAAAAGCUCGUAGUUGAAUUUCGAGACCAAUAUGUCGGUCGUGCCUCGGUACGUACUGGCAUCGUUGGUUUCUCCUUUCUGAAGAACCAUGAUGUCAUUUAUUUGGUGUCGUGGGGAAUCAGGACUGUUACUUUGAAAAAAUUAGAGUGUUUAAAGCAGGCUCACGCUUGAAUACAUUAGCAUGGAAUAAUGAAAUAGGACGUUUGAUUUUAUUUUGUUGGUUUCUAGGAUCGACGUAAUGAUUAAUAGGGAUAGUUGGGGGCAUUAGUAUUCAAUUGUCAGAGGUGAAAUUCUUGGAUUUAUUGAAGACUAACUACUGCGAAAGCAUUUGCCAAGGAUGUUUUCAUUAAUCAAGAACGAAAGUUAGGGGAUCGAAGACGAUCAGAUACCGUCGUAGUCUUAACCAUAAACUAUGCCGACUAGGGAUCGGAUGAUGUUAAUUUUUUAAUGACUCAUUCGGCGCCUUACG
rnacentral:rRNA from 1 species